CUUGGUCAUUUAGAGGAAGUAAAAGUCGUAACAAGGUUUCCGUAGGUGAACCUGCGGAAGGAUCAUUAAAGAAUUGCCCCAUUUUUUGAAAUGGGUUCUAUUCCCGAACCGUGUAUACAUACCUUUGUUGCUUUGGCAAGCCGUCCUUCGGGCGCAGCUUCGGCUGAGAGCGCUUGCCAGAGGACCCCAACUCUUUUGUUUAGUGAUGUCUGAGUACUAUAUAAUAGUUAAAACUUUCAACAACGGAUCUCUUGGUUCUGGCAUCGAUGAAGAACGCAGCGAAAUGCGAUAAGUAAUGUGAAUUGCAGAAUUCAGUGAAUCAUCGAAUCUUUGAACGCACAUUGCGCCCCUUGGUAUUCCGAGGGGCAUGCCUGUUCGAGCGUCAUUAUGACCACUCAAGCCUAGCUUGGUAUUGGGGUUCGCGGUCUCGCGGCUCUUAAAAUCAGUGGCGGUGCCAUCUGGCUCUAAGCGUAGUAAUUCUCUCGCUAUAGGGCUCCGGUAGUUGCUUGCCAAAACCCCCCUAUUUCUCACGGUUGACCUCGGAUCAGGUAGGGAUACCCGCUGAACUUAAGCAUAUCAAUAAGCGGAGGA
rnacentral:rRNA from 1 species